rnacentral:rRNA from 1 species
AUUGAACGCUAGCGGGAGGCUUAACACAUGCAAGUCGAACGGAGUGGCGGACGGGUGAGUAAUAUAUGGGAACGUGCCCAAUAGCGGGGGAUAACUACUGGAAAGAGUAGCUAAUCCCGCAUACUAUUGGAGCGGCCGAUAUCGGAUUAGCUAGUUGGGGGGGUAAAGGCUCACCAAGGCAACGAUCCGUAGCUGGUUUGAGAGGACGACCAGCCACACUGGAACUGAGACACGGCCCAGACUCCUACGGGAGGCAGCAGUGGGGAAUUUUGGACAAUGGGCGAAACCCUGAUCCAGCCAUCCCGCGUGUAUGAAGAAGGCCUUCGGGUUGUAAAGUACUUUCGGCAGAGAGGCGUUAUCUGCAGAAUAAGCACCGGCUAACUCCGUGCCAGCAGCCGCGGUAAUUC